UUCCCCGCCCCUUUCCCGCUCUCGCCCCGCCCCUUUCCCUCCCGCAGCCCGGGAUCCCCGCCGUCCUGGUCCCGCGCGCCCCCUGGUGGCCGUGCCUCGUCUGCGCAGCCUCUUCCCUCUGGAGCUGCAGGACUCCCAGCUAGGGCAGGACCUCAGCGGUGUCUAGGGGGUCGCGGCGCUGGGGGCCGUCCCUGCGAGGGUCUGUCUCGGUUUCGGCGGCCUUCUGUAGGUCUCUGCCCAUAUUUGCCCCUAGAAACAGCCCCUGCCCUAGACUGCCCUGGGGACGUGGACUCUCAGGCCCAUGCUGUCGUGUUCUCCGUCUCGUCCGCUGCAGCCCUCAUCGUUGGGCACCUUGGGAAACGGGAAUCAAAGACUUGCUUGCUGGGGGGCAGGCUAGCCACAAGCCAUAGGCCAGGUAAGUCCGCAGCGUCUGCAGGAGGACCGCAGGUUUAAGAGACACGGAGUCGCUGAUGGCUCUCUUGCAGAGCAAAGACCUGAAAUGAUUCCAUCAGCAAAUAUUUGUUGGGUGUCUCCCGUGUGCAGCAGUGGUGCCAGGGCUUACGGACGGAGGUGACCUCAUCGCUGAGCCCUGGAGGCGGGUUCCCAGCAGAGGGGAGGACGUCCGCACACUGCUGAUUGCCAAGCAGUGGACCAGGGCGAGUGUUGGUGAAUAUGCCCAAAGGGGUCCCAAGAGGAAUAGAGUCUCUUUUGUGGGGGGGAAGGUGGGUCGAGAGGGCUUUCCAGAGGAUGUGACACAUGGCUGGGCGUUGGAGGUGAAGCCUGGCCCCCCCUUGAGAGGAGGGAGAGGUCAGCACAGGGUGUGUGCUUAGAGCUGGGCCCAAGGGGAGGGGGCUGUGCAGGAUGUGACCCGCCUCACCCAGAGGCUGCACGGGUUCCCUGUAGGGAAUGGCUGGGUACCCAGCAAGGAUUUAGCCGGAUUCCUAGGGUCCAUGCCUCCUCCCCUCCAUGCUGGGGAAGAGCAGGGAGUGGGCUGGGUGAAAAUCUUUGAGAUGCUCACUUCCUUUAAUCCGACCCCCAAGCCGCUGAGGCUCUGGCUCCCUGGAGCCUAAGAGGGAAGAAAAGAGCGCAUGGAAAAUGAGAAAAUCCUUGCAUAAAAGAGUAAAAAGCAGCUAGGAGUACAACACUCGUUUGGAGAUGGGGUGACACAUGAGAUAAAAUCCUAAAUAAAUAUCUUGCAUGGCACUCA
rnacentral:lncRNA from 12 species